rnacentral:rRNA from 1 species
CAGUCGCCACGGGAAUACGUAGGUGGCAAGCGUUAUCCGGAAUUAUUGGGCGUAAAGCGCGCGUAGGCGGUUUUUUAAGUCUGAUGUGAAAGCCCACGGCUCAACCGUGGAGGGUCAUUGGAAACUGGAAAACUUGAGUGCAGAAGAGGAAAGUGGAAUUCCAUGUGUAGCGGUGAAAUGCGCAGAGAUAUGGAGGAACACCAGUGGCGAAGGCGACUUUCUGGUCUGUAACUGACGCUGAUGUGCGAAAGCGUGGGGAUCAAACAGGAUUAGAGACCCCCGUAGUCCCUGUCUCUUAUAC